UGACUGGAGGAGCGCAUGCGUUAGGCCCUCCCCCAGCGCUGCCAUUGAGGAGCAUUUAUUCAGUGAGUGGAAGAGAUUUGUUUGAAACAGUCCGCAAUGGAGAGACCAGCGUCCAGGGAAGCGAGGGAACAGCAGGCUCCUUCCAGCAGCGCAUCGCAAUGCAAAUAUUUGAUGGGCCAAGACAAUGUCAUAUUUCCACUGUACAGGACCAAGUGUGACCAGCUGCUCCUACCAAACAGCAGAAAAUACUGAAGCUAUUACAUGAUCCACGAUGAAUUCUCCUGAAACAGCCCAAGAAGUAAAUUGAAAUCCAGAUUAAAUAUGCCUCCAAAUAUCUCACCUUGUCUUAGACUUGGACAUGUAACUCAUGUAUCAAUUUCUUUUGUAGAAAGUACAAAUUAAAAAACAGCAAACAUCUCA